AGAGUUUGAUCCUGGCUCAGGAUGAACGCUGGCGGUCUGCUUAACACAUGCAAGUCGAACGGGCUCUUCGGAGCUAGUGGCGGACGGGUGAGUAACGCGUGAGAAUCUGCCUUCAGGAGGGGGAUAACGACUGGAAACGGUCGCUAAUACCCCAUAUGCCUCCGGGUGAAAAGUAAUUCGCCUGAAGAUGAGCUCGCGUCAGAUUAGCUAGUUGGUGGGGUAAGAGCCUACCAAGGCGACGAUCUGUAGCUGGUCUGAGAGGAUGAUCAGCCACACUGGGACUGAGACACGGCCCAGACUCCUACGGGAGGCAGCAGUGGGGAAUUUUCCGCAAUGGGCGCAAGCCUGACGGAGCAAGACCGCGUGGGGGAUGACGGCCUAAUGGUUGUAAACCCCUUUUCUCUGGGAAGAAGACUGACGGUACCAGAGGAAUCAGCCUCGGCUAACUCCGUGCCAGCAGCCGCGGUAAUACGGAGGAGGCAAGCGUUAUCCGGAAUUAUUGGGCGUAAAGCGUCCGUAGGUGGUUAUUCAAGUCUGCUGUCAAAGCGUGGGGCUUAACUCCAUAGAGGCAGUGGAAACUGAGUGACUAGAGUGCGGUAGGGGUCGAGGGAAUUCCCAGUGUAGCGGUGAAAUGCGUA
rnacentral:rRNA from 1 species